AGGAAUAUGCCAACAAGAACUGCAAUUAGGAGUGGUUGACAGGAGGAAACUUUUUAAAAGAGACCACACACUACCUCAUCAACAUGCUUGAAGAUGAUCUGAGCCUGAAGAGGGACAAAGGGCCUAGUGAUAGACUACCUUUCUCUCUGCAAAUAUUGACAAUUCUGCUUUUGUAUGGUGAUAAUUUCAGGGAAUACGUGGUGAUGAGGCAUCAGUGUUGCAAUUAUCUGUUUGUGAGUGAUCAAAGAUGUUUCGCAAGCCAUAGCAAGAAAAAAAGAGGUUUUGUGAGAACUUCAACAACCAGAGAUGAGAUUGAGACUACCCAACAACAACUGUGUGAGUGAUCGAUGGGACCCAUGUCUAUACAAGAAUUCCUGGAGGGAAACAAGCCUUGUACUUUCCUGAAGGGCAAGUCCACCCCAACAAAAAGUUUCUUUGAUAUAAUACAGAAAAGUCCAAUGAGCAUAAGACUAAACAUUUCAUCAAAAUUUGAUGUAAAAUGAGAGUGUUGACAUUUUGAAGUUUCGCUUAUUUUCACAAAACAGACAUCCUGGUCAGUAUGCAAAUGAGUGACAAAGUGACGUUCUCCAUCUCCACUCAGUGUUUCUUUUGUAAUAUACUAGUAUCAUGAUUUUUUCCCCUCAUAAUGUGUAUAAAGUACAGGUGAGAUAUGGUUUGAUUUCUCCCUGAAACUUUUGUAAAAAGCCAUUGUGGCAACCUAUACUCAAUUCGAUGAAGAGUUUUCUCAUAAUUCUGUAAAAAAUCAAGCAUUAUAAUAUAUUUCUACAGAAGAAAGAGUGAGUGUGUGACAUAGACUUGUUUGCAUAUCACCUGUUUUAUCACUUGAUUAAUUAAUUUCUUAUUUUACAUCCUAUUUUGACGUUUUCCGUGUCAUGCAUAUUUUACUUAUCUCUAUUCCAUUCACAUUAACUUUUUUUUGUACAGUGGACUUGCUCUAGAACAGGUACUUUUGUAAUGUACAAGUAAGAAUUUCAUUAUUUACUUGUGUCUUCUUUUUUAACACUUGUUUUUACAGGGGUGGGGGGGUUAAAUCAACUUCCCUUGAGAUCUCUGCCAAUGAUCACAUUAACGCCUUGAAAAUUGGUAUGAUAAUAGUGGGGGAUGUCUUGUGCAAUGCUGUUUGGUUAAUUUUUCCGAAAUCGUCAGAUCUUUAACAUUAAUUAAUUAUGCUAAUUUCUGCAUAAAUCAUACUUUUAUACCAUU
rnacentral:lncRNA from 1 species